rnacentral:rRNA from 1 species
GAACGCUGGCGGUAUGCUUAACACAUGCAAGUCGAACGGAAUCUUCGGAUUUAGUGGCGGACGGGUGAGUAACGCGUGAGAAUCUAGCUCUAGGUCUGGGACAACCACUGGAAACGGUGGCUAAUACCGGAUGUGCCGAAAGGUGAAAGAUUUAUUGCCUGAAGAUGAGCUCGCGUCUGAUUAGCUAGUUGGUGUGGGGUAAGAGCGCACCAAGGCGACGAUCGGUAGCUGGUCUGAGAGGAUGACCAGCCACACUGGGACUGAGACACGGCCCAAACUCCAACGGGAGGCAGCACUGGGGAAUUUUCCGCAAUGGGCAAAAGCCUGACGGAGCAAUACCGCGUGAGGGAGGAAGGCUCUGGGGUUGUAAACCUCUUUUCUCAGGGAAUAAGAAAGUGAAGGUACCUGAGGAAUAAGCAUCGGCUAACUCCGUGCCAGCAGCCGCGGUAAUACGGAGCAUGCAAGCGAUAUCCGUAAUGAUUGGG